rnacentral:rRNA from 1 species
CCUACGGGUGGCAGCAGUGGGGAAUAUUGCACAAUGGGGGAAACCCUGAUGCAGCGACGCCGCGUGAGCGAAGAAGUAUUUCGGUAUGUAAAGCUCUAUCAGCAGGGAAGAAAAUGACGGUACCUGAGUAAGAAGCUCCGGCUAAAUACGUGCCAGCAGCCGCGGUAAUACGUAUGGAGCAAGCGUUAUCCGGAUUUACUGGGCGUAAAGGGAGUGUAGGCGGGCUGCCAAGUCAGAUGUGAAAUACCGGGGCCCAACCCCGGGGCUGCAUUGGAAACUGGCAGGCUGGGGUGCCGGAGAGGCAGGCGGAAUUCCUAGUGUAGCGGUGAAAUGCGUAGAUAUUAGGAGGAACACCAGUGGCGAAGGCGGCCUGCUGGACGGUAACUGACGCUGAGGCUCGAAAGCGUGGGGAGCAAACAGGAUUAGAUACCCCUGUAGUC